rnacentral:rRNA from 1 species
GACGAACGCUGGCGGCGGGCUUAACACAUGCAAGUCGAACGGAAAGGCCCUGCUUUUGUGGGGUGCCCGAGUGGCGAACGGGUGAGUAACCCGUGAGUAACCUGCCCUUGACUUUGGGAUAACUUCAGGAAACUGGGGCUAAUACCGGAUAGGAGCUCCUGCUGCUGGGUGGGGGUUGGAAAGUUUCGGCGGUUGGGGAUGGACUCGCGGCUUAUCAGCUUGUUGGUGGGGGAGUGGCUUACCAAGGCUUUGACGGGUAGCCGGCCUGAGAGGGUGACCGGCCACAUUGGGACUGAGAUACGGCCCAGACUCCUACGGGAGGCAGCAGUGGGGAAUAUUGCACAAUGGGCGGAAGCCUGAUGCAGCAACGCCGCGUGCGGGAUGACGGCCUUCGGGUUGUAAACCGCUUUCGCCUGUGACGAAGCGUGAGUGACGGUAAUGGGUAAAGAAGCACCGGCUAACUACGUG